CCCUUUCCACCGCGGCCUCUGCCCGGGCUGCUGUGUCCUGCGGAGCUCCGAGCACGUGCAGUGCCCAGCUGCCAGUUUGAGGAGAUGCUUGCCCUGGAUGCCUUGAAAGUAGGGUGGUCUUCACCAGGCUAAAAGAAUGAUUGGGGAUUUAGCUCAGCGGUAGAGCGCCUGCCUAGCAAGAGGAAGGCCCUGGAAGGCCCUGGGUUCGGUCCCCAGCUCCGGAAAAGAAAAGAAAACAAAACAAAACAAAAAAGAAUGAUCCACAGCAGGGUGCUGUGGUUCUCAGGUGAGUGUCUAUUCUAGCAUUGACUGCUUCCUCUGCCAGGCCUGUGGACUACUUUGUAUGUAUCAGGAAACAAUUGGGAAACAAGUUCACUCUUGCCACUUACUGUAGAACUUUGGGGGGGUUUUUGUUUUGUUUGUUUGAAAGUAGCAUAAAAUAUUUUUGUGUCUGCCAUUCCAACUAAGGAAUGACUUGUAGGAAUAUUCUAUGUCUUAGAUAACAAUGUAUCUUGUUUCUGUUCACUGCUAAGUGUCUAAGUUUGGUUCCUGCCAAAGGGCAGAGGCUGUUGGACAAAGCUGAGAGCAUAGAGACUUCUGUGAUUUCUGUAUUCAUGUCAGCUACCUGGGGUGGUCCUGGGAUGCAUGAGAUGGGAAGGGAGAGGGAUUUCUGGAACAGUCCAGCAGUUGUCAGCUGCCCAGGCUGUGUGGUGCCUGUGAUUGUGUUACACUGUUGGAAGAGCAAAGGCUGCUUUAGAAGGGUUGGCUCCAAGCACUGUUUUGGUGUUUGGUGCUGAGUACCUUCAGGCAGUGUAUUGCAUCCCUGAGAGUGGAAUGACUCCUUGUGGAGUUGGUCCUAGUCUAGGUGCGAACAAUUUUCAUGUUAACAGACAAAAGAAUUGGGACAGGGACAAAGCUGUGUGUUUAUAGGACACUUGCCUCACAUGUACUAAGCCGUGAACCUUACUGACAGUGUGUCACCUUUUCCUCCUUAUUCUAGAGCUGAAUGAGAUCUGCGUCCAUCCAGGACUUCAGGUUUCUGACUACACCGGGUUUUG
rnacentral:lncRNA from 1 species